rnacentral:lncRNA from 1 species
AAUUAAAUCACCUCAGCGCUGGAUUUCAAAUCAUUCACCCCCCAAAAUCCUAAUUCUCUCUUGUUCUUUUAUCCUUAUAUUCUUCUUUCCUCUUACUAUUUGUUUUUAUGUUCAAUUCUUCUUUGCUUGAGGACAAGCAAACCUUUAAGUUUGAUGUUGACGCUUCGCUUAAGGGUUUUCUAUUUAUUCCUAUGGCACCAAAAGGGAGGCGAAUCAUCUUCGCUGAGGAGCACAACCUGA